CGCGUAGGCGGCUUGGUCAGUCAGGCGUGAAAUUCCUGGGCUUAACCUGGGGACUGCGUUUUGAACUGGGUAACUAGAGUGUGUCAGAGGGGGGUAGAAUUCCACGUGUAGCAGUGAAAUGCGUAGAGAUGUGGAGGAAUACCGAUGGCGAAGGCAGCCCCCUGGGAUAACACUGACGUUCAUGCUCGAAAGCGUGGGUAGCAAACA
rnacentral:rRNA from 1 species